GUCAUAGUUGAUUAUAUUCCAGUAGUCAACAGUAACAACAACAACAACAAAAAGCUAUUAAUUGCUGACAUCUUUCAUGUAUUUGUAUUUAUUUAUGUAUCGCUUACUUUAACACUUAAUUGAUGCUGCUGCAGCCUUCGUUGCUCUUCUUCCAGUUCAGACAGCUCCUCUGAAUAGCUCAGGUUCUCAGUCUUCAAACGUGUGCUGGCAAAGCACUCUUCUGAAUUACAGCGUUGUCUCAGUUACUCUGGUGUAGACAGGCACACGUGUCAUCUGUGAAAGCCACAUCAACUCCAUGUUACACUCAUGGAAACAAUAGAAGAGGAGGAUCACUGGCAUAUCUGUCCCUGGCUGGAGCUGAAUAACCAACCACUGUAAAUUGAUACUAUCUUAUCUGUAUCAGAGGAUUCUGUCUGGAGAUUGUGAAGAUGGGAGAGUGAAUUUGGGAAGCAAAGUUGACAAGAAUUAUCAUCAAAUGUACUGACAUAGUUUGUGUUUUGUGUUUACGUGAAUCUGAAAUUUCAUGGAAGGAAGACCAGUUUUAUUUAACACAACAGCUGGGACCAGCAGCAUGCUAAUUACUGAACGUCCUGUAGUGUCAGAGGAAAGAAACCAAUACUUCUUGAGAGGAUUUGAAAUUUCAGCGAGCUGAGUAUGGAUGAGUGCAGCCUCCCCGUUUUCUGCCUCAGAUGUUAUGUAAAAGAAAAUGAUGAUUUGUUAUAUAAGGCAUAUUAUGGGGAGCGUUCAGCCAUACUGUGAGGCUCCUUCUCCUUCCAUUCCCAAUGCACAUUUUGGCCGUUAUACCGAAUUGGCAUAUAACCAGUUCACUGGAAUUAGAUCACAUUUACUGUGGUAUUUGGGAAGACUGCCAGUUUGUGGAGGUGGAUCAGCUCUCUGAUCAGAGUCAUUGCGUGGCUGUUUAAGCAGCUUGGCUGGCAGAGCAGAGAGAGAAGUAAGAUGGAGAAGUUGUUCAAACCAGCUGGAACAGCACUGCUGCCAGAGCCGAAACCCAUCUGUUAUUGCUCAGCCAUGAAGCGCUUGGACCAAAGACAUCCCUUACUGUCCUUUUGCCUAGAUAACUCAGUCUUCUGUAAUGCUGAACAAGGAAAAGAUCGUCAUUUAUGUUUUAGGCAGACCUGAAUUCACUUCAGUAAUAGUUUUUUGGCACUGGAGAAUAUUUCAAGUUGCAGUUUUGCUUUCCUUCUGACCCAUAGUCAUCACCUGAAUUGAAGAAGGUGGUAGAUGGAGACUACAUUCCAACAUCAGAAAUCUGUCUAAUCAUUCAGCUCUGUGGAGGUGUGAAGCUUUGUAAUGACUUGCCAUAUGACCUCUCGCCUCGCAGUGCUAGGAAAGGAAGUAAAGCUGAGAAUUCCUGGUCCCCAGCCCUUGAUUUAAACUUCUCCAUCUUAAGCAUACCUCAGAAACCGAGAACUCUGUGUACCUGUUGCUUGAUUGCAGGAACACGUCAGGUACCCAGUGUUGGUCUGAGCUGCAGAGAGCAAAAAGAGAGGAAAGAUGCAGACAACCGUCUGUAUCCCUAUUUGAGAAAACAGUUUGAAAUGUAAAGAAUAUUCUUCAUCAAGCUACAUCAUCCUUUCCUCUUUGCUAAUAAAGGAAGCUGUCUACACCCCACGUCUUUACAGUACUUUGGUAAGUACUUUGGUAAGACACUGUGAUAAGGUGCAGUCCUUGUAGAAAACACCAAAGGACCCCAGCGAAAAAGUUGGAUAAUUUAGAGAAAGUGUAGAAAAGAAGCUGGAUGUAGGGAACUGACACGGAGAGGGACUGUGCCUUUUCUUUGAUUUCUGUUAUGUGCAAGCUACAUCUGUUGGCUAAGUUAUUGUAGAUUGAGGCCGUGUAAAUUCUUUCUUUCAGAUGAUAAAUUAUUCACGAUUGGGAUUUAGAAAGUCCUGGGUAUGGUGUUUGCUUCUUUCUCCAGUGGCAGAGGCUGGCUACAAGCACUUUGUAAUACCAGUGGGGUCUUUUUUGCACUGGACAAUUUUUUUUCAGAGCAGCGUACUUCUAAGCAGCCCAUAUCCCAGUGGGAUACAGUUAUACUUAAAUGGGAAUACUUAUACUGGCAUACCUUCUUCUGGUCUGAGAAGAAAAAUAAACUCUCCCUGUAUAAAGCUCUUUGAUGCUGUAUAUGGGGUCCAUCUUCCCACAUUUGGACAUGUAUGAGUAAGUCAAGUAUCCUGGGCUUCAUUUUAGUCCAUGGAAGAAAUAGCGCCUUCAGUACAUACACAAAAUAUCUGAGACAACUCAGAGAAAGCACCCUAGAGACACUUUCCAUUGACUGUACAGGGUUCUUAACACAAGUCACAUUUAGAUGUAUAGCUUUCAAAAGAUUAAAACUGAAUACAAUAAAUCUGACCAUGUGUAUCCACAAUGAAAUUUGAAUCAUUGCAGCCACACUAGUGCAAAAUCAUGAAAUCUUUCAGUGGAGUUGUAUGGGGUAUAUUCUUUUCCCCUAAGGUGAACCAAAGCCUACACCUAAGGCCCAAGACAGAGCUUUCAUGCACUGUGGGUAGGGACUUUGCUAUGCUGUAGGAGCAGUGGGCAGAAUACUUAUGUAGGUGGGCUUACUAACUGUGUGGCAGACGUCUUACUGUGAUAAGUACCUGGUUGCUUUUUAGUGCACGUCCAAAAUACAACAUCUGAUGACAUGUUUUGAACUAGUGGUAUAGAAUUAGAAGCUGCUGAGAUAAUUCCACUAAUAAUUAAGCUUGCCAAACAUGUUCCUUUAUAAAACCAGAAAUGUAUUUCUUUCCACUUUAAGUACUUUUCAUUACUGACUUGAAUGAAGAUACUUCUUUUUUUACAGAAUACAGAAUUCAGGGGAAGAAAAAAAAGCAUGGACUUUCCAAAGGAACCUCCUACCACCUUCCCUCCUUAAAUAACGAAGAGAUGGUUUACAACAAUAUUCAUAGUAAAUUAACUGGCUUUUAGAAAAGCCUUGGUUUGGUAUUGGGGAAGUAUGUCCAUUCCCUGUGUGUGGGAGGAUCUUAUAGUAAGCUCUUUGCAGUGCUCUUGGGAUUUCCACCUUCACUUGUUGGAAAAGGAGUAGCUUGGAACUAAUGGAUUUUGCCCAUGGUGUGGGCAGCACAGAGAGCACUGGAGCUACGUGUUGAGGCAGAUACAUGCUGGCUGAGGGGGACAGUCCUGCACGCUGUGUGGAGAAUGCACUGUGUGGUUCUCAGCCAGGCUUCUGAGUGCCUGUGCUGUGUAAGAGAGGGCCUAAGUGAGUAAGCCCUUCACCUUUGAUAGUGAUGAUUACAAAUGCCAUUUAAGAUACAUAUCUUAAAAGAUAUUCUCAGAAUUUCUGCUUUUUCAGCAGUCUAAAAUUUUAAAAUGAGAUCUGCAACUUUGUUGAUGAAAGCUGGAGUGUCAUUUUAACCCCAAAGUGAAUGACAUCAUCCCUAAAUUAGCAAUAUUUACAUGCUUGUGUAUAUCCUUUACAUCCUCUGACUUUUAACCCAGCUUAUCAGUGGUUCCUUGCAUGGCUCAGGAUAAACAUUAUUUGUGCCUGGACUCUAUUUUAAGGUCUCAGCAUAUAGCUGGGUUACUGUGGCUUGAGAAGAUGCCAUCCAUCUUUACUAACUGCUGGUAAUUGCCCAGGUACAUACAGUCGGCCCCCACAGUUGUGAGAUGAUGUGAUGUUGCUUAUGCUUCUUCGAUAGAUGUUUAAGUGAUUCUUGUUACCCCAUAUUAGGGGUGGUGUGACAGCAUGCCCAUGGACAGCUAGAGUGUUAAUCUGACAGGCUGAAUCUUGUUUUUCCAUUUAUUUUCGGGUUUAUUGAGAGACUUAAAUAGGAACAACUGCUAGACCACAUUGUGUCAACCUCCCACGAUGACUACAUACAUUGUCUUCCCAUAGAAAAUAGGGUUUAUGGGGAAAAGAGAUUAAAAAAAAAAAUCUUGUACAUUAAUUUUCCUUGCAAUCUGAAAGUCAGCAAGUGGCAAAAACAUGCUCUGUGCCUUGAUAUGCCACAGAUCAAGACAAGACAUGCCAGGAACAGAAAGACUUAAAGAACAGAAGACUUUACGUGAAGCAAAGUAAGAAUUGGGACAUUGUGAAGCAUGUCCUGAUGUUGUUUCAGAAUUAAACUGUGAAGUGCUAUCGACCUAGACUUGUGGAGGGCACCACAGAAGCAUGUUGUGUAGUGUCCAUGGAGUAAGAUUCUUAUUCUGCCUUGAAAGGAGAACCUUAAAUAUCAUGGAUUAAUGCCGGAUUGGUCAACGGAAGUUUUGGACCUUAGCUGCCAGAGAGCUGCGUGCAUGGUGUUACCAUCACAUCCACUGAAUGUGCUGGAGCUUUCCUGUCAAGGUUUUAAUUUCCUGCCAGUGAUUUUAUUUUUAAUUUUUUUGAGACAUUAGAAGAUCUUUAGCCAUGACUGUGUAUCAGCAGCUGAAAGAAUUUGUGAGGAUGAACGUAACUAUUUGCUCCAAAAAACCUACAUAGCUCUUUUCACUCCUUUUGACAAGUAUCCAUGAAUACAUUUAAGUUUUAGAGAGCCCUGGAGUAGUUCUUACUGCUGUAUUUGACCAGCGCAUUGUCUGGACUGCUCUCCAUUUGUAAGUGAUGAGAGCUUUUCCGUGCAGGCAGCCCAACCACUGGAAGGUCAGCAGUCUGAUGCUGGCUUCAAAACCACGAGAUUGGCUGCUUUCUGCAUUGGGUAUCAAUGAGUCACAUUACCUUCUAGAAAACAAAACAAAAAAACAGCCGGACUAAUUUCAAAACCUGCCAUUGGAGAAAUAAUGUGUGAAGACCUUCUGACUGGAGAUGGAGGAAGGAAGGAAAAGGCUGUGCACUUUUCAACAUGACCGUGAAGAGGAAUUGCCAUUCUCUAGCCUUGCUCAGCCUGAACGUGUGCUUCAUGAGAACAUCUGUCUCAUGAAGGUGCUUGUUCAGGAGUGGUAGCUGAAGCCCAACUCCAAUCCAUAGUGGUAUCUAUGGCCUGAAAUGCCAAUCCUACCCACAUAAGGUGAUACCACCAAGUAUCUGACUGGUUGCCAUAGUGUAGGUAGGUGGAUCGUGGGCACCUACUGCUGCUUUCGCCACUGAGGUGGUAGUUGUGGUUGUGGUGUCUUCUCCACUUGUGCCAAAGAAUUGCUUUUGCAGAUCCUCCAGAUCUACUGUGUGCACAGGAUGGAAAGGUAAACCAUUCGUACCAUCUAUAUUCUCAGUAUCUCUCUGCAUCCUGAUCCUAGAGGAAGCAAUGUUUAAAAGCAUUGGAAAAAAAAAAAAGUCUUCUUAAUUAAAAAUUAAUUUAAAAUCUUAUUAAGCCUCUUUGGCCUUAGCAAUACUGAGGGAAAAAAACGCCAGCACUAAUUUUGCAGAAAACAGUUGUGUUUAAUAACAUGGUAAUUUGUCACAAAUUUCUGCCCUUGCCCAUUCCAAGGACAAAAUGAGGUUUAACACUGAAAUAGUUAGAAAACAUUUUACCUCAUACAUUUUAACACUGCAUUUUCCCAGUAUAGUGCUGGGCUUAGGUAUUCUAAUUUUAUCUUCAGUAAUUGGUUCCUAAUUUUAUUGUUGUGGCUGUUGCUCCCUGAGGGCGUUUGGAAAUGAGAUUCAGCAUUAAAAAAAACCCUUAGCUGAAACAGACUUUUAAUAAUGAAAUCAAUGAAAGGAGCAUUCCUAACUAUAAAACCGGAGCAUAGGUACAUAAAUAAUCGUUACAAUUUGUUUAGUGCUGAGUUUUCCAGCCCUGUUGCAUUUAACCAUUUUUAUUGUCCUGAGGAUAUUCUGUGCAGAUCUUUGGAAAGGCUGAUGGAUGGCAUUUUUUCAACCAAAGCGUUUUUCAGAUGUGGUACAGUCCACAGGAAACCUUUUGAAAUAGAAGAGGACUGUGGCAGCCAGCGCAGCAUUGUGAUGUUAUGACCAAAGAGCUGUUUUGAAGAAUGAGAGACAUUUCUUCUGAUAGGGAAAUAGCUGAUACUUACCCUUCACUUCUGUGGGAAAGCUGGUGGCUUCAGGUGGGAGGAGGUAUGUCUGUGGGACUCUGGGAUUCCCUCUGAGAUGGCCAGGUGCUCCCAUCCCUGGGUGCCCUUCUCCACAUCAGCAGAGAAGAUCAACAGAGAUGUCCGUGAGGAUUGCAUCUGCAGACCUCUUCCAUUCCCAUGUCUGUAGAUUACUCAGAUAGGAUAAUGUGUUUAAAAAAGGAUUAUCUUGCAGGGUCUUGUUUGCCAAAUAUCAGCCUGGAGCAAGUUUUUACAGCUGAGUUACAAUGACCUGAUAGCAGUGUUUAUGAUAGAAAUGGUGCCAACUACUUGGUACCAGCGGCGCGCUGGUCGCUUAGUCACUGAAAGACUUUGUUGUCAGAAUCACUUUUUAUUUUGCAAAUGGGAAUAUGUGUGGUGAAUAGUGCUCGGUGCCUCUAAGCGCAGAGGCUCCGCGCUGGUUAGCGGUUAGCCAGCCCCACAGGCACUGCCUGCAAGCAUCCCCACGCAGUGCUGCCAGGAACAACAGCGGCUGACGCUUGCACAGCACUUUUCCUCUUUGGGCUGAUCACGGGACGCACUGCACAUGAGCUGUGGGUGCUGCAGAGCUGCUACUGCGGCUGUCUGGCAGCUCAGGGCAGGAGGGGUCAUGGUGGUAAGCAGGACCAUGUGCUGCCCACCACUCCUGCAUGUGCCCUCUAGUAGGGGACGCAGCACAGCCCAAUGCAGGCACUCAUUGCUUACUGGGGAUCGCUACCACACUGCCUGCCUGGAGAUUCAACUCCUUUAUCCUAUGAACAGACAUCUUUAUUGGGAGAGUUUUUAUUCACCUGGUCUAGCACAGCAGUUCCCUCAGCUCUUUUUACUACUUUUCAUGUCACUGGGGCAGAGAGUGGGAAUUUGUUCCUUUAAGGAGAGUAGUUUUUGAUCCUGAUCUGAUUUCCCACAGUUGGGUAGAGAAUACCAAACACACAAAACUAUAUCAUGUUUCUACAGUGGAGUUACAAAGCCUCAUUCACCCCUGUGCCCUUAUGCCAACAAAGUUCUGAUGAGGGCAACCCCACGACAGGGGGGUGUGCUCUGGUGGAACUGCAGAACAACCUUUCUAUGGGUAUGCCCUUGGGAUCCUGAGAAGCAACGGCCUUGUGUGUUGGUACGGGCAAAAGCUACCUAGAAUUUAGAUUAAAGGGAAAAUGUAUUUGCUGAGCCACCCUGAGUAACACAGCAGCUCCUGCAGUAACACAGUUGUUGUCACUGGCUGGGUUUGAGCAGCUCGUAGUCAUAUGAAAGAACAUGAGAAAUGACAUUGUGACCCGAGACCUCUGAGCUUCAGGUUAUGUGAUACGUUGCCUGCUUUCGGUUAAGCUCAGCAUGAAGGAAAUUGUUGCCAGUUGUGUUUCAGUAGUGCGCUGAGAAAAAGGGCUGCAUUUAAGUUUGCCAGAAAGUUGCUGAAUCACAUCACUAUGUAGAAUAUAUUCCUCAAAUUGUCUCUCUCCAAUCAUGCAAGGAAAAGGAGGAAAAGAAAGAAAGAAAGAAAGAAAGAAAGAAAGAAAGAAAGAAAGAAAGAAAGAAAGAAAGAAAGAAAGAAAGAAAGAAAGAAAGAAAGAAAGAAAGAAAGAAAGAAAAGAAAAGAAAAGAAAAGAAAAAGCCAUCCUGUAUCAAAAGAUGAGACGUUAUGGGGGUUAGUUACGGAAAAGUAAUAUAGCCUUUUUAAAAACUCUCAAGCUGCAGUGCUUAGGAACUGAAGGGCAGAGUGUUCCUUUCCUCUGUUACUGCUGCAUGACCUGUGCUCAACUAUACGUAUUGCAGCCUUAAAGCUUGCUCUUGCUCCCCAGGAGACAAAUGCUAAAGCAUUCUUAGACCUUCGUGCGUGGGGGGGAGAGCUCUCAGUAUAAUUUCAUGGAUAAAUAUUGUAUGCUCUGUGCCUUUUCUUAUGUACUUACAGAAAUGGAAGUAAGCUGGUGCACACUCUGGUGGCCAGUCCUACAGAGAGAACUCACGGGGAUGACACAGUAAAUUACACUUGCAGACUUGCCAUGCAUUGUGCACCAUUUUCUCCUCUGCACAUUUGUUAUGUUUCAGACGAGAAAGCAUAUUCCUCUCAGUUAAGCUUCUUAGAAACGUCCUUACUCCCAAACCUAUGUAUUUUAGUUACCAGUCUUUUGAUUUUAAAGGCUUAAUCUGAGUUUGUUUGGUCAGAUCCGCUUUCUGUUCAGUUUCUCUGCUCACAGCUCCCUGCCUGUUUGAAAAACAAAAGCAAAAACAGGAUGUCCUGUCAUUCUGUCUUUCCUUGGGCUAUAAAAGCAGGGCAAGGUAAGGCUCUUGGCACAGGUCUGUAUUGCGCUCAGCAGAGGCACUCUGCCUAGGCUGGGCCUUCUGGGCUGAACCAAUAACUACCAACUUUCUGGGCUUAGAAUAAAUGUAUACAUGGGUUGAAGAUUUUGAUUUUAAUGUUGUGUGUACGUGCAUGUACAUUAGAAUGCAUGUAAUGUUUGAUUUGUAGAAAUUCGGGCACGUGAACCCUAAUCACAGUAUCCCAAUAACCCUGAUAUUUCUGUGUUUUCUGUCUUCUGAAUGCAAUUUUAAUAUUGAUUCUGCUUAAUGCUGCUUCUCUAGUGUUAUCUGUAGCAUGCAGUUGUGCAUUUCCUAGUUAUUCUGUUUGUUCAGCAGGCAGCCCUGAGCUUUCCUUACUGCAUUCUUCCCUUACUUCUAGCCAGUGCUAUGUUACUUUGGCUGUAGGUGUCAGAAGAUGAAAUUCUGCUAAACUUUGAAGAGAGGAGGCUGAAGUGUCAUGACAUGCCAGCAACUACAGAAGAGGGAAAACAACAAGUGAUUCUUCUUGCAGGGCUCAGGUGUGAACUUGAAGACAGGGCAAGGAGGAAAGGAGGGGAGACAUGGAGCUGCAGCCCUCUUGCCCAUGGCCUGGGCAGGUGGCUGCUGCUGCUGUUCCACUUCUUUGAAGGGUAACCCGAUCAGGCCCUGGGACUGCUCCCUAAGACAUGAUUGUCCUCCACCUUUGGCUGCCCUUCCCGCAGGGCUGUUGCUUAAGGCUGAAAACCCGUCACUCAGGAAAAGCAGGCGGCCUGCUCCCUCUAUAGGCUUUUCUGGUUGUUGCUGCCAUGAACCGGCUGCCCAGGGGAUCAGAGCUGCAUGCGGGUUUUGAAAGCUGACAUAAACUCUUACGUGAGGUGUAAUUUGCAUUUCUUUUACAUUUAGAGAUUUUUUUUUUGCAUGUUUACAUGUGUAAAUGUGUAUAUGCAUGUGGAUUCAUGUUUGUGUACUGUUCAUGUUGUCUAAUGGCUAUCCACGUAGCUACUUUCUCUGCAGAAGGCACAUAGAUGAAGCAAUUUUUACUGCUCAAUCUUGGAUUGAGCACAUACAGACUGUAUGGAUUUUUUCUGAACCAAUGCAUCAUCCUUUUUGUUUGUGAGCUAUCUGUUUGAUAAUUGUGUAACCAUAACACUCUUUCAAUUGCAUUCUACCUUUAUUAAGGGAAGAGACACAGUCUGAACCACGGCACGCUUCCUCCCCAGCACCUGCUCUCCUGACUGCACCAGCACUGCAGUUCCUGAUGCCAUUCUGAUAACAAAAGCAAUCUGGAUUCAGAGCAUCCUCUUCGUCACUUGGAUCAGCCCAGGGAGCCGCUGUGCAGCCCAGCCCCAGCAGCCGCUGCAGAGCUGCAUGGGGGGCGGCAGGGUGGGAGGCAGGCAUCCCCAGGCUGCAGCUCCCCUGUCUGCUGCUGGCAUGGGUAGCAGAGGGGAUUCCCCUGCGGUGCCUGAAACAGUGCUGCAGGGAAAGAUCCAACACAUCUGUGGGUUAUAUAUUAACAGUCAGCAGUGACCUUCUUGCAGCGUGGCGGAGUAACCGUCUCACUGAAGCACUGAUGAAGAAGUGGCAGCUCUUUCCGCUCCGCAGAGCGCAGGUGUUGGCACCGAGCAGAAGGCUGCCAGACCAUUUCCAUGCAAUGAUACCGUUACCAAUUGCUCCUUACUUUUUAAAAUGUGAAUACAUUGUUCUGAAGUUUUCGGUACUAAAUGAACGGCUGUUUGUUGCGGGGAACGGAAGGGAGACAACAGGAGAAGUCUUCACUAAAACGUUGAGGGCACUUCCAAGGAAGCAUUGGGAGAGUAAUACACGGGCUUUGCUUAUAGGGAAAAGCCUUAGCAGUGAUUCCAUGCUGUGCUCAUUUUCCCUUCACCAGGUCUGACCUUGCUCUGCGUUGAGCUCAAUCAGAGAUCUGCUGCAGUGGGGUUGUGGGCUUUUGUCACUUACGGCACAAACAAAUUGCUUUACCUUAAGCUUAAAAGCAAAGCCACGCCAGGAUGGCAAAUGUGUACAUCACCAGUUAAAUGACUGAUGGUUUUUUUGUCUUUGGAGCUUCUGGUGAAUGCAGAAGCGUAGUAGUGAAAGAGAAAAUAAAGGUAAGUUACAUACGUAUCUCACACAUGAAAUUUAUAAUGGUCUUUCUAUGUGAGAUAAACUGCUUUCCAAUGGUUACAUGCAUAGAUAUACUGAGGAUGAUUCCAUCUGGUGUCCAUUGUGCGCUGUGCAUAAAUUCAGAUGUUUUGACUAAAGAUGAGGCUUUCACAGAAGACCUUUCUUUUGGUCAGUGUAUGUCACUAUUUAAUUAAAAGGAAUCCUGGCCAUGUUUCAAUUCAA